rnacentral:rRNA from 1 species
CCUACGGGAUGCAGCAGUGGGGAAUAUUGGGCAAUGGGCGCAAGCCUGACCCAGCAACGCCGCGUGAAGGAAGAAGGCUCUCGGGUUGUAAACUUCUUUUUUCAGGGACGAAGCAAGUGACGGUACCUGAGUAAUAAGCCACGCCUAACUACGUGCCUACAGCCGCUGUAAUCCGUAGGUGGCAAGCGUUAUCCGGAUUUACUUGGUGUAAAGGACGUGUAGGCGGGACUGCAAGUCAGAGGUGAAAACCACGGGCUCAACCUGUGGCCUGCAGUGGAAACUGUAGUUCUUGAGUACUGGGGAGGCAGGCGGAAUUCGUGGUGUAGCGGUGAAAUGCGUAGAUAUUAGGAGGAACACCGGUGGCGAAGGCGGUCUGCGGGACAGCAACUGACGCUGAGGCGCGAAAGCGUGGGGAGCGAACAGGAUUAGAUACCCUGGUAGUC